AAGAGCUCAAAUUUUGAAUCUGGCGGUCUUUUGGUCGUCCGAGUUGUAAUCUAGAGAAGCGUUUUCCGCGCUGGACCGUGUACAAGUCUCCUGGAAGGGAGCGUCAUAGAGGGUGAGAAUCCCGUCUCUGACACGGACUGCCAGUGCUAUGUGAUGCGCUCUCGACGAGUCGAGUUGUUUGGGAAUGCAGCUCAAAACGGGUGGUAAAUUCCAUCUAAAGCUAAAUACAGGCGAGAGACCGAUAGCGAACAAGUACCGUGAGGGAAAGAUGAAAAGAACUUUGGAAAGAGAGUUAAACAGUACGUGAAAUUGCUGAAAGGGAAACGCUUGAUGUCAGUCGCGUUGCCCGGGGAUCAACCUCGCCUUGCGGCUUGGUGUACUUCCCGGUCGACGGGUCAGCAUCAGUUUCAGUCGUCGUACAAUGGCGCGAGGAAUGUGGCACUCUUCAACGAGUGUGUUAUAGCCUUUCGUCGUAUGCGGCGGUCGGGACUGAGGAACUCAGCACGGUUUUACACUUGUGCUUAGGAUGCUGGCAUAAUGGCCUUAAGCGACCCGUCUUGAAACACGGACCAAGGAGUCUAACAUGCCUGCGAGUGUUUGGGUGGUAAACUCGGGCGCGCAAUGAAAGUGAAAGUUGAGACCUCUGUCAUGGAGGGCAUCGACGCCCGGACCAGCGUCUUUGACAACGGAUCUGCGGUAGAGCAUGUAUGUUGGGACCCGAAAGAUGGUGAACUAUGCCUGAAUAGGGUGAAGCCAGAGGAAACUCUGGUGGAGGCUCGUAGCGAUUCAGACGUGCAAA
rnacentral:rRNA from 1 species